rnacentral:misc_RNA from 1 species
CCGAGUUUACAAACUCCCAACCCUAUGUGAACCAUACCUAUCGUUGCUUCGGCGGGCUUUAGCCCCCGCGCCCUCCGGGGCGCCGGGAAACAGGCGCCCGCCGGAGACCCAAACUCAAUGUUUUUCAUGCAGUAUUAUCUGAGUGGCAAACGCAAAAAUAAAUCA